CCUACGGGAGGCAGCAGUAAGGAAUAUUGGACAAUGCUCGCAAGAGUGAUCCAGCCAUGCCGCGUGCAGGAAGAAUGCCCUAUGGGUAGUAAACUGCUUUUGAACUAGAGAAAACCCCAGUACGUGUACUGGGCUGAUAGUAUAGUUAGAAUAAGCAUCGGCUAACUUCGUGCCAGCAGCCGCGGUAAGACGAAGGAUGCAAGCGUUAUCCGGAUUCAUUGGGUUUAAAGGGAGCGUAGGUGGACUGAUAAGUCAGUGGUGAAAUCUCCGAGCUUAACUCGGAAAUUGCCAUUGAUACUGUUGGUCUUGAGUACAGUUGCUGUGGGCGGAAUAUGACAUGUAGUGGUGAAAUACAUAGAGAUGUCAUAGAACACCGAUUGCGAAGGCAGCUCACAAAGCUGUAACUGACACUGAGGCUCGAAAGUGCGGGGAUCAAACAGGAUUAGAUACCCUGGUAGUCCGCACCGUAAACGAUGAUUACUCGCUGCUAGGGGGCAACCUUUAGUGGCUUAGCGAAAGCGAUAAGUAAUCCACCUGGGAGUACGCCGGCAACGUGAACUUAGAGAUGAGNGNGAGAGNGCGAGACGACACGAGGGAGGAG
rnacentral:rRNA from 1 species